UACGAAGGAUUUGAGCGUUAUCCGGAUUUAUUGGGUUUAAAGGGUGCGUAGGUGGAUUAAUAAGUCAGUGGUGAAAGCCCGCAGCUUAACUGCGGAACUGCCAUUGAUACUGUUAAUCUUGAGUACAGUUGAGGUGGGCGGAAUGUGUCAUGUAGCGGUGAAAUGCUUAGAUAUGACACAGAACACCGAUUGCGAAGGCAGCUCACUAAGCUGUAACUGACACUGAUGCACGAAAGCGUGGGGAGCAAACAGG
rnacentral:rRNA from 1 species